rnacentral:rRNA from 1 species
UACAGAGGUCCCAAGCGUUGCUCGGAAUCACUGGGCGUAAAGGGUGCGUAGGUGGCGCCGUAAGUGGGGUGUGAAAUCCCGGGGCUUAACCCCGGGACUGCAUUCCAUACUGCGGUGCUUGAGGACUGGAGAGGAGACUGGAAUUUACGGUGUAGCAGUGAAAUGCGUAGAGAUCGUAAGGAAGACCAGUGGCGAAGGCGGGUCUCUGGACAGUUCCUGACACUGAGGCACGAAGGCCAGGGGAGCAAACGGG